CUCAGGAUGAACGCUAGCUACAGGCUUAACACAUGCAAGUCGAGGGGCAGCAUGGUCUUAGCUUGCUAAGGCCGAUGGCGACCGGCGCACGGGUGAGUAACACGUAUCCAACCUGCCGUCUACUCUUGGACAGCCUUCUGAAAGGAAGAUUAAUACAAGAUGGCAUCAUGAGUCCGCAUGUUCACAUGAUUAAAGGUAUUCCGGUAGACGAUGGGGAUGCGUUCCAUUAGAUAGUAGGCGGGGUAACGGCCCACCUAGUCUUCGAUGGAUAGGGGUUCUGAGAGGAAGGUCCCCCACAUUGGAACUGAGACACGGUCCAAACUCCUACGGGAGGCAGCAGUGAGGAAUAUUGGUCAAUGGGCGAGAGCCUGAACCAGCCAAGUAGCGUGAAGGAUGACUGCCCUAUGGGUUGUAAACUUCUUUUAUAAAGGAAUAAAGUCGGGUAUGCAUACCCGUUUGCAUGUACUUUAUGAAUAAGGAUCGGCUAACUCCGUGCCAGCAGCCGCGGUAAUACGGAGGAUCCGAGCGUUAUCCGGAUUUAUUGGGUUUAAAGGGAGCGUAGAUGGAUGUUUAAGUCAGUUGUGAAAGUUUGCGGCUCAACCGUAAAAUUGCAGUUGAUACUGGAUAUCUUGAGUGCAGUUGAGGCAGGCGGAAUUCGUGGUGUAGCGGUGAAAUGCUUAGAUAUCACGAAGAACUCCGAUUGCGAAGGCAGCCUGCUAAGCUGCAACUGACAUUGAGGCUCGAAAGUGUGGGUAUCAAACAGGAUUAGAUACCCUGGUAGUCCACACGGUAAACGAUGAAUACUCGCUGUUUGCGAUAUACGGCAAGCGGCCAAGCGAAAGCGUUAAGUAUUCCACCUGGGGAGUACGCCGGCAACGGUGAAACUCAAAGGAAUUGACGGGGGCCCGCACAAGCGGAGGAACAUGUGGUUUAAUUCGAUGAUACGCGAGGAACCUUACCCGGGCUUAAAUUGCAGAUGAAUUACGGUGAAAGCCGUAAGCCGCAAGGCAUCUGUGAAGGUGCUGCAUGGUUGUCGUCAGCUCGUGCCGUGAGGUGUCGGCUUAAGUGCCAUAACGAGUGCAACCCUUGUUGUCAGUUACUAACAGGUUCCGCUGAGGACUCUGACAAGACUGCCAUCGUAAGAUGUGAGGAAGGUGGGGAUGACGUCAAAUCAGCACGGCCCUUACGUCCGGGGCUACACACGUGUUACAAUGGGGGGUACAGAGGGCCGCUACCACGCGAGUGGAUGCCAAUCCCCAAAACCUCUCUCAGUUCGGACUGGAGUCUGCAACCCGACUCCACGAAGCUGGAUUCGCUAGUAAUCGAGCAUCAGCCACGGCGCGGUGAAUACGUUCCCGGGCCUUGUGCACACCGCCCGUCAAGCCAUGGGAGCCGGGGGUACAAGAAGUGCGUAACCGCGAGGAG
rnacentral:rRNA from 1 species